GCUUUUUUAUUUAAAUGCGAUAAAUAUUUAAUUUGCGAACGUGUUGUGAAAGAUCACACGAGCAUGCACAAAGGACCCGCUGCUGAAUAUGCAACGCUCUGAUAAAUAUUUCAGCACUCCAUUUCCCCAACCCCCGGUUGACUCACCAGGAACCUGGAGCCGAUCCUGAUUGAACCCAGCUGUUGGCACUCACCUCAUCAUCCAGCCUGCUACUUAAGAGGAACCUCCACCAGCAUUCUUCGCCAGUUCGUUGCCUCUCCAUGAACAGAUUGUAUGUGUGCCAACCUGCACACGAGCAUUAAGAAAAGCCUCAGAGAUCCAAAGUCUCUAAGCCACGCCACGACUCCCAGCCACAACUACAAGUCACGUCAAAACUCUGAGUCAUGCCACGACUCCAAAACACGUCACAACACAAAGCCACGCCAAGACUACACACCAUGCAACUUCUCUCAACCUUUCCUCAAGAGUUGCUACGCCGUUGGAUAAACAUCAUCCAUUCAUAUAUACUGGUCUCCACCCGAUCACUAUCCACAGACUGGGACAAUAAAUAAUUAAAUCCAGUUCCAUCUCCUGUUGUCCUUCCGGGUUCCAGCAACUGGGUCUGCUCAGCCUUGCUGAUCAUGAUACAAACACUGGAAUCUCUGACUGUAAUUCCUUUGUUCUCCAACAUAAACUUAAGGGAAAACUAAACUGCUUAACUCUGAUUUCUGCUGCUCUUCCGGGACCUGACCAUCACUG